UGACGUCACAUAAUACAUGAGAAAUUGGAAUCUGUGCUUCUUUACGAACGCGCGCUCGCCCUGGUUGGGUAUACUAUCAAAGAUCCAACAGCAGAUAUCCGGCGAAGACGAUCAAGCCGUCGGUCUGCAUGGCGGUAGAAACGCCACCGCAAAUUUGCACUCAAGCGUCGAAGCGUAUUUAGCGCCCGCCUUUUCCAUCAAUAGUAAGGCAUAUACCAUCGUCGCUGUUCAUCAGUUUGAGUUGGGCGACAAGAGCUUAGCAAAAAAAAAAGCGAGAGACAAAGCGCCAAAGCUUCCGUUAAACGCCGCUGUAACGCCUCUUCUAUCCGCUAGCCGCCAUGGUGCGCAAAACUAGUUCGCGGUUUAAAAUCACUCUGACCGCUGUGUUACCCACCAUCUCGGGGCUUCUCAUGUGGACAACACUUCGUGAGAAAAUCUACCCGACUAAGACACAAGAUGAGCGCGGAGUUAAGAUACUUGAGCUCAUUUCUACAGGAUUUGGGCCGCCAUACAAGGAGGACAUGGGGGAGACACUUAUCAUGCUCUCUGUAUAGAGUACAAUGGCCGGCCGACGGGAAGGUGGCUUGAGGAAGUGUUACAAAAACCUUCACAAAUUGCAGUGUGGUCAUCUCGGAACUGCCAACUCAAGGGUAAACACAUUUGUCAAAGCCGUCUUUGACAUAACGCCGAAAGAUUGGUGUAUUCUGUAACAACUAAUGCACCUGAAAGAAUUGGUGGAAACCCGAAAUCACCUAGAUUUAAUCCGUGUAUAUUAACCAUAGCAGCAAUGGCGAUUUUAUAUUGCACCCGCAGUGGUGUUUAUACUAUCACCGCAAUGGUGAAUACGGCCGCAAAGGCGUUUUCAGCGCAAAGGCGGAUAUAUCAUCUAACCGCAACGACGGGCGCACCACAAUGGCGGAUCUAGUGUUUUCAAAGUGUUGUAUAGUAUUCGGGUAAAACAAAAACAACUAGACGGGUAAAGCAAACAUCAGUGCCCAUAAAAGGCCUUAGAACAGGAAAGGCAAAUAUUAGAGUCAUAUAUAGCCGCGAGAAAUGGGUAAAAACAACAGCGGCGAAUAAACCGUUAGAACAGGAGUGGCAAACAUCAGUGUCAAAUAAAGCCGUCAGAACGAAAAAAACAAUAUAAUCCAAAAAUGAACCGUUGGAGUCGGAAAGUAAAAAUCUAAAUUUAGCCGUCAAAACACGGGAAACACCAGCGGCGAAAAGAAUGUAAGAACGGGAAAAAUCAGCGUCAAAUAUAGUUGUCAAAUGGAGGAAAAAAACACAGCAUCGAAUAAACAGAAAGGGAAAAGCAAAAAUCAGCUCCAAACAGCCGUUUCAGCCCGGAAUAAACCGCUAAAAAGGUAAAGGCAAACAUAUGCGUCAAAUAAUAACCGUCAGAACGGGGAGAAAACAACAGCGGCAAAUAUACCGCAAGAACGGGGAAGGCAAACAUCAGUUUCAAGUAAACGUUAAAAAGGGAAAAAUAACAUCAGCCAAAAUAAACCGCAAGAACGGGAAAGUAGCAUCAGUGCCGAAUAAACCCGUUACAACGGUAAAGGGGAACAUCGGCGUCAAAUAUAGCAGUCAGAACGGGAAAAAAUUACAUCAACGACGAAAAACCUGUUAUAAUGGCAAACAUAUACCCGUUUUAAAGGGGAAAAUAACAUCAGCGCCGAAUAAGCCUUUAGAACGGAGAGGCAAACAGUGUCAAAUAUAGUAGCCAGAACGGGAAAAAUAACAUCAGCGCCGAAUAAAUCGUAAGAACUGGAAAGGCAAACAUCAGCAUCAAAUGAAGCCGUCAGAAUUGGAAAAAUAACAUCAGCGCCGAAAAACCCGUUAGAACGAGAAAGGCCGAUUUAUACCAGCGUCAAAUAUAGCCGUCAAAGCUGGGAAAAUAACAUCAGCGCCGAAAAAAAAACGCUUACGGGAAGGCAAACAUCAGCGUCAAAUAUAACUGUCAGUACGGUGAAAAGACAUCAGUGGCGAAAAAACAGUAAGAACUGGAAAGGCAAAAAACAGCACUUAAUGAAGCCGUAACGGGGAAAAUAACAUCAGCGCCGAAAAGCCUGGAUCCAAACGAUCUAAAAAAAACGGAUAGCGUAAUGAAGAGAUGUAAAUUGAUAUACGAAAACCGUUAACUUCUAAAAAUCCAGUGGCUAGAAAAAAAUCAAUCCAAAAAGAGUGGCUUUACGGCGCUUUUCAAACACUAAAGCAAACUAAAUUAGCCUUUGAAAAUACAUUGGGUGAAAACCGUGAAAAUUUCUUAAAGGAGUGGCUCUACAGAAAAUUGGGUAAAAGACUCGAGGACAAUGUCGAAGAGGAAUGGCUUUUAAAGCGCUUUAUGGACGCGAGAAGGGAAAAUAGAUCAGCCCUUCAGUAGGUAAAACUCACGAGAUCACGAGCGCGACGAGAAAGAAUGCGCCAGCAGUACUAAUCAGCGGUUCACAGGAAACUCAAUAAAAUGCGGCGGUUCAAGAAUUCUCUGGAAAAUGUGGAGAGAACAGUAGUUCGCUUGUAAAGAGCAUUGCUUGGAAUUGUUCAUGUUGAAAUGCGCUUUUGAUCAAACGCUGCUGCCCAAUAAAAAUCAGGUAUAUGGACCGUCA